rnacentral:rRNA from 1 species
UACGUAGGGCGCAAGCGUUGUCCGGAAUUAUUGGGCGUAAAGAGCUCGUAGGCGGUCUGUCGCGUCCGUUGUGAAAACUCGAGGCUCAACCUCGGGCUUGCAGUGGAUACGGGCAGACUAGAGUGCGGUAGGGGAGACUGGAAUUCCUGGUGUAGCGGUGGAAUGCGCAGAUAUCAGGAGGAACACCGAUGGCGAAGGCAGGUCUCUGGGCCGCAACUGACGCUGAGGCGCGAAAGCGUGGGGAGCGAACGGG